GCACGACUUGAUAAGACUGAGCUACGAACAGUCUACGGAUAUCUUAGAGUUCAGACGUGCUUCCUUACCAAGGAAUGACACGCACUUGAGAUACCUACAGACUCAUCGGUUCGAGCAACCAAUGUAGAUCUGAAGAGACGUCGUACAAUAGAAGUUGUUACGGCCUCCUAAGCAACGAGUAUUUAUACUCGGGAGGAAGCCUGGGAUUAGACAUCAAUCAAUCAAACCAACAAUACACCGGUGAGAGAGAUACCAGGAGCCUACGCUUCUGACGCUCCUUACUCAGAACAGAACCCAGUCCUUGACGGAGCGAUUCCGUCCUGUAACCUGUCGGCUCUCGCCGCUAUUACGCGCUAACAAUAAGGCAUGCUGCUUCACGAACUGCAGCUACAAGUCACCUGGCUAGGGUACGGAACGCACAUCGAUGGAUCACGCAUACAAACCAACAUGGACUUGAGGCAUGCCCCUGUCCUAC
rnacentral:lncRNA from 1 species